ACAGACAGGUUUGAAUGACAGGUGUCCGUCACAGGUGCAGCGACGAGGCCAAGUUCUUCAAAACUUUUUGCCCCGGCUGAACGACAUGUUUCCUUGAAACGGGCUUCAAGGCAUUUUAUCCCGUUUGGUGGGCGUGUCAGAGGUGUGAGCCAAUCAGCAGUGGAAGCCACAGGGUCGUUCGGGGCACCACCGUUAAUAGUAAUCAACGUUUACUGCUGUUUACUGGCCGAGCAGAGAAUCACUGAAACCUGCAGCCAGCUUCAUCACACCUGAGUGGCUGUCAGAUAACACCUGCACAGAGAUGCGGCUCUGCUCGCUCUGCAAGGCGACCAGUUGCUGGUCCAGAACACCUUGACCUCUUUUCAG